GUUGGAUUUCUUCUCUUUGCUCGAUCCGUUUCGGUUGUGGGUGUCUAUUUUGUUGGUGGAAGACAUAUCUUGUUGUGGUUGAAGUAACAGGAAGAUGGCCCCUGAGGAGAUGAUAGGCUGCCCUAGCUGAGCUACUCAGCUUGGGCAACAUAACAGACAUGAAGCAUCAAUGAUGUGUUUUGUUCUGCACACAUGGUGUAGCAUUCAAGCUUCCGAAAUCCAUAUUAGCCCAACACUUCCAAAGAGUGGACUCAUGAUCUUGCUUGGUUACAUGUAAUCAGCACCAGCCAUGGCAUCUCGAGAGGCUGACCUUCACUCAGAUGAAUUUAGAAGGUGACAAAAUGACUUACUCAGGCAUUUUUCAUGUUACUGUUCGGUUCUAUGGUGUUCCUGAAAGUCUCAGGCUCUGUUCUCUGGUGGACAAGCUUAUUCAAUACACAGCUACUUUCUCUGAUUCUCUUAGAUACAAGCAAGACAAGAACAUUAUUGGUCUGGUUGUUUUUGGUGUUACUAAGAAGCCUCCAGAUACUAUUCUCAUUGCCAACUCAACAUACAAGAUCAACAAGAUUUGCGCAUUCCGUAGGCUGCUUUUCCACAAUUGUGUUCUCUUGUCAAGAACAAGCUUCUUGAGUUAGCAAAAUGAAAUGGAAAUCUAUUUUAAAUGGAAGACAGUCUCCUUCAAGGUUCCAACAGCAGCAAGUUGAGAUUGUGACCAUGAUAAGUAUCAGAGUGACUCUCUGCGUAUUCCAAUGAUUUAUUUCAAAUGUGUGGCUGCUACCACAUGUACAUUGAGUUCAUUAGCUGAUCAUCACAGUGCUCCUGCUUCCUUGGUUACUCUGGCUACACUGCCUAAACAGCUGCUAAUGGGCCAGUAAUGUGGUGAGCCCCUCUGCUGAUUCCUUACAAAGUUCUGAACAGCAAACACCACAUGCAUGUAUCCUCUAAGCAGAUUUGCAGACGCCGCUUCUGACGAUGCUAUGCAUCUGUGAUGCAAGUCGCAGCCUGUACAGAGCAGCAGAUCGGGAAUACGCAAAAGAAUUGCGCAUCUUUGUAUUGAGAGAAGUAAAGGUUGUCAUUUACAGCUGAAUGGGGAAAAAAAAACAGAAACAAGGAGGGGAGGAAGGGAGGGGACUGGUUGCAGCAGUUCUAUUCUCGCGACAAAUGGGGCGAUCUAGGGAUACAGAGCAGCAGAUCAUCGGUGUGUUGAGUGUUUUUACUUCUGCUGCCUUUUUCCACAGUAAUUCAGAUUGCUUCACCUAUUUCAGAGAGUAUGUUUUGAGGGAGGGAGACAAAACGGAAGAGCAGAGCACAUUAUUUACGUUUCAGUUUCUCCAGUUUGCAGCUCAAAUGCAAUAUCCGCAGCGACGGAUAAAAAGCCAAAAGAAAAAAAAUGCUUUGCUAAGCUAGCUGUUCCGAGAUAUAGCCCAGAAUAAAAUUUUAAUUCAUUGCUAACCGUAAGCUGAUUGUGAUGAACUCAUCCAACAAGCUUGUCCUCAGGAUGCUCCAUAGCACCAUCAUUUUCCUUUGUAGUAACCCACCCAACACGGGGAAACUAUUUUAAACCCUCGAGGUAACGUCCCAUUGUUUGUCUAAAAAUCAUCGAAGUAGUUUUUUUUUAAAAAAAAAUUGCGGCAAACCAGCGGUGGUACUCAAUCCCUGCCAGCUCAAGCCGGGUAUUGCCCCUUUUUUACUACAGCUAGAUAUGAUGUUGGAAAGAUUAUACAGAUCACAACCCUCAAAAGCACUUUUCAUGCCCUUAGGUGACUGGAUUUAUUCAGGAUAAUCCACUUACAACAGGAGAGACUUGGGAAAAAAUGGAAAAAAAAAAA